AUAUUAGUUUCCCGGACAGUUGAUGCAGCACAAUUUGACUGUCAAAUCAUGUUCAUUUUUACAUGAAUGUUGCUAAACACAUGGUAUGAGGCUCUGCUGAGCGGUGAAGGAAACUCCGUUCAUUCACACGUGCAGUCGGACAGCUAUCAGAUCCAAGGACAAGCAAAUAAAAGUGGCCUGUACACUUUAUCAAGUGCUCCCUUUCUGCAAUCACAAACAACGUCACAUCAGAGCCCGGGACACACAGAAUGAGCUUCACCACUAACUGAAGUAUGUUUGUCAACACUUCUUGGAAAUUAGGUAUGAUUAUAUUUGCAAAUUCUGGAACUGAAUGGAAGAAGCUUUAGGGACCUAGAGUGUAGCCAUAUUAAAUAUUUUAAUCACUGAUCAUAUGUUUAAAGAGGCGUUUCGGGUGGUCUGACUCUUAUUUAUAUCUCACAAGUGUCUUAAAUGAUUAUUUUCAUGGUUUUAGGUUUUAUAGGUUCAUUAAAAUUGUUAGUGUGUUAAGAGGAAAUGUUUUUUUUUUUUUUUUUUUUUUUUUUUUGAAGCACUCCCAGGUUUUGGGUUAGUGACCUCGUCCCCACAUCAUGCUGGAUCAAUACUUCUCUAAGCUUAUCACAAAACUGUUUGACUAAACCCCCUGUAGGUACAUAUAUGGAGGUUAAAGGAGAGUAGAAUGAGCAGUCAUGACAUAAACCGGACUUGUUUCUCAUUUUCUUGCAGACUGGAUCACUGGGAGAGACGAUGCGUGUGUGUGUGUGUGUGUGUGUGUGUUAGUGUUUUAUAAAGUGUCUUUUUCAGUGCUCUCACUAUUCUUACAGCACGAAGGGUCAUGUGGAUCAGCCAUCUUUACUGAACAGAGUCUGUGAUUCCUGAUCGAAGGCAUAACGGAUCAUUCAGAAGAGACCAUCUGCACGGUUCCCGCCACUAUCCACUCAACUGACAGACGUGUAAACGCAACGAUAAUCGCUAACAUUCACACAUGACCAUAGCGAGAGCCAGCUGCUGAACGAAAGACAAGAGAGGGACAAAGUUUAGAUAAAGGUCCAGCUAUCACAGCAGGUUGCCCUCGGUCUGAGUAUAGACCCAGUGCUGGAAGGCGCAGCAUUUCUGUCCUGCCUCGGAGUCUCUGCGCAUCAGGUUGAUCUCCUUCCCGUCCUUCACGGAGUACUUCACAAAAUCUCCCAGCAGCUCCUCCUCCAGCGUAGCAUAAGGGAUGUUGUUAGACGGCCGGUGCACCAAAUAAAUCGGGAUGAUUCUGGGAAUUUAAGGACAAUUUAAUGAAUAAAUAAAAAUUGUUUUUU